UUGCUUUGGCAGCACAUAUACUAAAAUUGGAAUGAUAAGGAGAAGAUUAGCAUGGCCCCCAAACAAGGAUAUUGUCCUAAAUAUAGCUAUAAAGCCAAAUACC